GACGAACGCUGGCGGCGCGCCUAACACAUGCAAGUCGAACGGAGAUACCUGUUAGAUCCCUUCGGGGUGACGAUGGACUAUCUUAGUGGCGGACGGGUGAGUAACACGUGAGCAACCUGCCUUACAGAGUGGGAUAACGUUUGGAAACGAACGCUAAUACCGCAUAACAUUAACUUAUCGCAUGGUAAGAUAAUCAAAGAAAUUCGCUGUAAGAUGGGCUCGCGUCUGAUUAGAUAGUUGGUGAGGUAACGGCUCACCAAGUCGACGAUCAGUAGCCGGACUGAGAGGUUGAACGGCCACAUUGGGACUGAGACACGGCCCAGACUCCUACGGGAGGCAGCAGUGGGGAAUAUUGCACAAUGGGGGAAACCCUGAUGCAGCGACGCCGCGUGAGGGAAGAAGGUUUUCGGAUUGUAAACCUCUGUCUUCAGGGACGAUAGUGACGGUACCUGAGGAGGAAGCU
rnacentral:rRNA from 1 species